UACGUAGGGUGCAAGCGUUAAUCGGAAUUACUGGGCGUAAAGCGUGCGCAGGCGGUUUGAUAAGUCAGAUGUGAAAUCCCCGGGCUUAACCUGGGAACUGCGUUUGAAACUGUCAGGCUAGAGUACGUCAGAGGGGGGUGGAAUUCCACGUGUAGCAGUGAAAUGCGUAGAGAUGUGGAGGAACACCGAUGGCGAAGGCAGCCCCCUGGGAUGAUACUGACGCUCAUGCACGAAAGCGUGGGGAGCAAACAGG
rnacentral:rRNA from 1 species